GACGAACGCUGGCGGCGUGCUUAACACAUGCAAGUCGAACGGUAAGGCCCUUCGGGGUACACGAGUGGCGAACGGGUGAGUAACACGUGGGUGAUCUGCCCUGCACUUCGGGAUAAGCCUGGGAAACUGGGUCUAAUACCGGAUAGGACCAUGGACUUCACGGUUUGUGGUGGAAAGCUUUUGCGGUGUGGGAUGGGCCCGCGGCCUAUCAGCUUGUUGGUGGGGUAAUGGCCUACCAAGGCGACGACGGGUAGCCGGCCUGAGAGGGUGUCCGGCCACACUGGGACUGAGAUACGGCCCAGACUCCUACGGGAGGCAGCAGUGGGGAAUAUUGCACAAUGGGCGCAAGCCUGAUGCAGCGACGCCGCGUGAGGGAUGACGGCCUC
rnacentral:rRNA from 1 species